rnacentral:lncRNA from 1 species
AAAACUGCAUAAUAGUCAAAUUUAUCUUAUUUUAAACCAUACUUUCAUGGUCUUUUCAUACUUUUUUCCGGACUUCUUUUUUAGAGAAGUAAUUCUGUUUCUAACCAGCUUAUCUAAUCUUGCAAUCAAACAACCCGCUGGCUGAGAUGGUUCACCAACCUUUCUUACAUUUCUCUCAUGCCAUAUUGCAUAUAACACAGCUUGAAAACAAUAUCUCAAUAGGAAUGUCAAAUUUCUCUCAUGAAGACCAUUUACCAAGACCUAAAUGACCUGAGACCAUUGGCUUAUGCUUCUAUUACCCGCCAUAUCGCCAAUGAUACCAC